UACGUAGGGUGCGAGCGUUGCCCGGAUUUAUUGGGCGUAAAGGGCGCGUAGGCGGCUCUGCACGUCCGUUGUGAAAUCGCCCGGCUCAACUGGGCGGGGUCAGCGGAUACGGCGGAGCUUGAGCAAGCUAGGGGGCAAUGGAAUUCCCGGUGUAGUGGUGGAAUGCGUAGAUAUCGGGAGGAACACCAGAGGCGAAAGCGGCGACCUGGACAGGUACUGACGCUGAGGCGCGAAGGCGUGGGGAGCGAUCCGG
rnacentral:rRNA from 1 species